UUGAAUCUAACAGAACGCUCUGGAAAGUGCGGCCAUAGUGGGUGAUAGCCCCGUAUGUGAAAGGUUCUUUGAAGUCGAAAUCGAGUAGGACGGAGCACGAGAAACUUUGUCUGAAUAUGGGGGGACCAUCCUCCAAGGCUAAAUGACUACUGACUGACCGAUAGUGAACCAGUACCGUGAGGGAAAGGCGAAAAGAACCCCGG
rnacentral:rRNA from 1 species